rnacentral:rRNA from 1 species
UCGCAUGGGCGAAAGCCUGAUCAGCCUGCCGCGUGUGUGAAGAAGGCCUUUUGGUUGUAAAGCACUUUAAGCGAGGAGGAGGCUACUUGGAUUAAUACUCUAGGAUAGUGGACGUUACUCGCAGAAUAAGCACCGGCUAACUCUGUGCCAGCAGCCGCGGUAAUACAGAGGGUGCGAGCGUUAAUCGGAUUUACUGGGCGUAAAGCGUGCGUAGGCGGCUUCUUAAGUCGGAUGUGAAAUCCCUGAGCUUAACUUAGGAAUUGCAUUCGAUACUGGGAAGCUAGAGUAUGGGAGAGGAUGGUAGAAUUCCAGGUGUAGCGGUGAAAUGCGUAGAGAUCUGGAGGAAUACCGAUGGCGAAGGCAGCCAUCUGGCCUAAUACUGACGCUGAGGUACGAAAGCAUGGGGAGC